GCUGGCGGUGUGCUUCACACAUGCAAGUCGAACGGGGUAGCAAUACCUAGUGGCGGACGGGUGAGUAACACGUGGGAAUCUGCCUUCAGAUGGGGGAUAACGGUCCGAAAGGACCGCUAAUACCGCAUAUGUGUGCAUCUCGACAGGGGUGUACAUGAAAGGAGCAAUCCGUCUGUAGAUGAGCCCGCGUCCGAUUAGCUAGUUGGUAGGGUAAAGGCCUACCAAGGCUUCGAUCGGUAGCUGGUCUGAGAGGAUGAUCAGCCACAAUGGGACUGAGACACGGCCCAUACUCCUACGGGAGGCAGCAGUGGGGAAUUUUGUGCAAUGGGGGAAACCCUGACACAGCGACACCGCGUGAGCGAAGAAGCCCUUUGGGGUGUAAAGCUCUGUCAGCAGGAACGAAAAAAAUGACGGUACCUGCAGAGGAAGCAUCGGCUAACUACGUGCCAGCAGCCGCGGUAAGACGUAGGAUGCAAGCGUUGUCCGGAUUUAUUGGGCGUAAAGAGUUCGUAGGUGGUUUGUUAAGUCUGAUGUUAAAGAUCGGGGCUCAACCCCGGGAGUGCAUUGGAUACUGGCAGACUGGAGUGUAGUAGAGGCAAGCGGAAUUCCAGGUGUAGCGGUGAAAUGCGUAGAUAUCUGGAAGAACACCAGUGGCGUAAGCGGCUUGCUGGGCUAUGACUGACACUGAGGAACGAAAGCCAGGGGAGCGAAUGGGAUUAGAUACCCCAGUAGUCCUGGCCGUAAACGAUGGAUACUAGGCGUAGCGGGUAUCGACCCCUGCUGUGCCGCAGCAAACGCGAUAAGUAUCCCGCCUGAGUAGUACGGCCGCAAGGUUG
rnacentral:rRNA from 1 species